CUUGGUGUUACUGCGAAGGGGGGACGGAGAAGGCUAUGUUAGCCGGGCGACGGUUGUCCCGGUUUAAGCAUGUAGGCUGGUUAUCCAGGCAAAUCCGGAUAAUCAAGGCUGAGGUGUGAUGACGAGGCACUACGGUGCUGAAGUAACAAAUGCCCUGCUUCCAGGAAAAGCCUCUAAGCAUCAGGUAACAUCAAAUCGUACCCCAAACCGACACAGGUGGUCAGGUAGAGAAUACCAAGGCGCUUGAGAGAACUC
rnacentral:rRNA from 1 species